GCCGGACAUGGUGGUGCACACCUGUGCUCCCAGGUACUUAGGAGACUGAGGCAGGAGCAUCACUUGAGCCCAGGAGUUCAAGGCCAGCCUGGGCAACACUGUAAGACCCCCAUCUU
rnacentral:sRNA from 1 species